rnacentral:rRNA from 1 species
UGCCUUACCAUGCAAGUCGAACGGUAGAGCAGCAAUGCUUGAGAGUGGCGAACGGGUGAGUAAUAUAUCGGAACGUGCCCAGUCGUGGGGGAUAACGUAAAGAAAUUUACGCUAAUACCGCAUACGAUCUAAGGAUGAAAGCGGGGGACUCGCAAGAGCCUCGCGCGAUUGGAGCGGCUGAUAUCAAAUUAGGUUGUUGGUGAGGUAAAAGCUCACCAAGCCGACAAUCUGUAGCUGGUUUGAGAGAACGACCAGCCACACUGGGACUGAGACACGGCCCAAACUCCUACGGGAGGCAGCAGUGGGGAAUUUUGGACAAUGGGCGAAAGCCUGAUCCAGCAAUGCCGCGUGUGGGAAGAAGGCCUUCGGGUUGUAAACCACUUUUGUACGGAACGAAACGGCCUGCCCUAAUACGGUGGGCUAAUGACGGUACCGUAAGAAUAAGCACCGGCUAACUACGUGCCAGCAGCCGCGGUAAUACGUAGGGUGCGAGCGUUAAUCGGAAUUACUGGGCGUAAAGCGUGCGCAGGCGGUUAUAUAAGACAGUUGUGAAAUCCCCGGGCUCAACCUGGGAAUUGCAUCUGUGACUGUAUAGCUAGAGUACGGUAGAGGGGGAUGGAAUUCCGCGUGUAGCAGUGAAAUGCGUAGAUAUGCGGAGGA